rnacentral:rRNA from 1 species
AGUAACGCGUGAGGAACCUGCCUUCCAGAGGGGGACAACAGUUGGAAACGACUGCUAAUACCGCAUGAUACAUUUGAAUCGCAUGGUUUGAAUGUCAAAAAUUUAUCGCUGGAAGAUGGCCUCGCGUCUGAUUAGCUAGUUGGUGAGGUAACGGCCCACCAAGGCGACGAUCAGUAGCCGGACUGAGAGGUUGGCCGGCCACAUUGGGACUGAGAUACGGCCCAGACUCCUACGGAAGGCAGCAG